GAACGCUGGCGGCGUUGCUUAACACAUGCAAGUCGAACGGGAUUCGGAGCUUGCUCCGAUGAGAGUGGCGCACGGGUGAGUAACGCGUGGAUAACCUGCCCUGGUAUCUGGAAUAACAUCUCGAAAGGGGUGCUAAUACCGGAUAAGCCUACGGGUUCCUCGGAAUCUGCAGGAAAAGGUGGCCUCUAUUUAUAAGCUACCGUAUCAGGAUGGGUCCGCGUACCAUUAGCUAGUUGGUGGGGUAAUGGCCUACCAAGGCGACGAUGGUUAGCUGGUCUGAGAGGAUGAUCAGCCACACUGGAACUGAGACACGGUCCAGACUCCUACGGGAGGCAGCAGUGGGGAAUUUUGCGCAAUGGGGGAAACCCUGACGCAGCAACGCCGCGUGAGUGAUGAAGGCUUUCGGGUCGUAAAGCUCUGUCAGAGGGGAAGAAAUGGAAACGGUUAAUACCCGUUUUCCUUGACGGUACCCUCAAAGGAAGCACCGGCUAACUCCGUGCCAGCAGCCGCGGUAAUACGGAGGGUGCAAGCGUUGUUCGGAUUUAUUGGGCGUAAAGGGAGCGUAGGCGGACAUUUAAGUCAGGGGUGAAAUCCCGGGGCUCAACCUCGGAAUUGCCUUUGAUACUGGGUGUCUUGAGUAUGAGAGAGGUGUGUGGAACUCCGAGUGUAGAGGUGAAAUUCGUAGAUAUU
rnacentral:rRNA from 1 species